AGAGAUGCACUGGGUUUAAAGGGUGCGCAGGCGGUUUUGUAAGACAGAGGUGAAAUCCCCGGGCUCAACCUGGGAACUGCCUUUGUGGCUGCAAGGCUGGAGUGCGGCAGAGGGGGAUGGAAUUCCGCGUGUAGCAGUGAAAUACGUAGAUAUGCGGAGGAACACCGAUGGCGAAGGCAAUCCCCUGGGCCUGCACUGACGCUCAUGCACGAAAGCGUGGGGAGCAAACA
rnacentral:rRNA from 1 species